ACACUUCAACUCUCACGGUUCGCCGUGGUGAGCUUGGACUUUGGGGGUUUUGCUGGCCUUUGCGGUCGGCUCCUCUCAAACGGAUCAGCUUGCCAGCGUUUGGGGGCAUCGUAGGUGUGAUAACUAUCUACGCCUGCGGUCGUCUGCCAUGUAACCUUUGGUAACGGAGGUUCGCUGGGGCUUAUGAAAGCCCGAGGACGGCAUUUUGAAC
rnacentral:misc_RNA from 1 species